UCCAACAUCUCAUUGGGGUUCAGAUCCUCAGACAGAAGUGCUUUUUAUUGGGGAAGAAUGGAGUGAGUGAUCAGAAUUUACUGAUAACCAACCAGUGGAGGGGUCUUUUUGAUAACCUUGUUUUCCCCAAGAAAAGAUCCCCACAACUUUAUCAGGGAAAACAAGUUUAGAAUUAAAGACAAACUGAGGAGGAAUCUUAGAAAAAAGACUUCAUCUCAGAGAAUUCAAUCUUUAGUAAGAGGAAGAACUCUUGGGAUCUCCCAAGCUGGUUGUUGUAGGAAAAGACCCCUUGAGGUCAAGGGGCAAGCAUCAGGGCUGAAGAAGAGAGAAGGGUCAAAAAGAGUGAAAUGGACAAAAAAGGAGUGGAAAAGACUAAAAACAUGAUGUUUGGUUUUUUCUUUCUUUCUUUGAUUAGGUAUUGUUAGCAAUAUUGAUUUCUGUUGUUGUUGCUCAGAUUAAUGUAUGUUUAACAUAAAAAUACUGGCAUUAGCAAAGUACAAAGUAAUCAUCUUGUUGAAGGAGACCUCUCUUAGUUAGGUGACAAUUGCCUGGAAGAAGUCUUUUUGGAACAUAUGGGGAAACAGUAAAGAAAGCCCAAAUACUUUAAGAUCAGAGGCUCAGGUGGAGAAUCAGACUACAGUAAGGAUGAUAGUGACAGAGGUGGUGAUGGCAAGGCUGUUGUUCCUUCUUAGCUAGGUUCCUCUCAUUGACAGAGAGCCAAGCAUUUAGCUAACAAAUUGUCCAAGGCUACCUGCUGCCCACAAUGUGGCUCUUCUAGUUUAAGAGAUCAUUACAAGGAUAAUUAUUGCUGUUCUCACCAUCAUUGUUGCCAUGGUAUUCCCUAAAGUUACAAGACAAGUUGCAACCAGGAUUAGAGAGGAGAAGAAUUGGUCUGUAAAUCAGUGUACUGCCUUGGGAGCUGCUCACUCUCUCGAUUACUUAGAUAGGAUAGCUUCUCUUUCUUUCUUCCAUUACCACCCUGACAUGUUUUCCUAAGAUUCCUACUGAUGUCUGAUCAUACUGAUCCUGGAUUCAAGUUUCCAGACUCCAUGAUUCCAGGGACCAGGACUCUGAGGUACAGAAUUAGUGAUACCUGAAGGCCUCCACAUUACCUCUUAUGUUUUCCUUAUCCCGUCCCAUUCCUCCUCUACAUAAGCACAGAUCUCUAUUCAAAACCUGUGCCCAGAACUUCCUGGGUCCCCCAUUCUCUGCUCCAUUUUAGAUGUUCCACAGGCACUGAGCACACUAUAUUUCAUCCAUCUAAAAAUCUUAAUAAGUAACCAGGGCCUGGAAAUCCAACUAUUUCCUUAGCCCAGAAGCUUAGAAUUUCUGAAAUGUGAAUGAAGUGGGGUGGAAUAAAGAGGGUAAUGACAGAGCAUGUAAGUCUUCUACAAGGAUGAAUAUACAAGACCCAUCUGCUUAGUCACAUCCUCAGCCUUGAAUGAGGGAUGAAAGGAGACUUUAGUAUAGAUCUUGCAUAUGGGUAGGGGACCAGGAGAGAGAAUUCAAGUCCUUCUCUUUACAUUCUUUUUCUUUUUUCUUAGUAGGCAGGCAUAAACUAAGUCUACCUAUAUCUACUCCAUUCGUGUAGGUGUUCUGUGUUCUAUUUGAAGACAUCAGAUUUCAGUGCAGCUCCUCCAAAGCUUCCCCUCUGCGUUACCUGCUGGAGAUGAUCACAGAAGAGAACAAACGCCCACCCGGGAGGAAGACACAGACUCUUUAAACUCAGGAAGCCUUGAAACCCUCUCUACGUGAAGCUGAUUGCCGGAGCUUUGACUACAGCUGCGGAGCCCCAAUUUCUGACGUCCCAAAAUCAUCUGGGGCUGCCUGGGAGCUAGCCCACACUUUGGGAAAAUGUGAACAGCUUCCCACCUCCUCUUCUUAUCACACACCUUUCAAUUCUUCCUCUCUUCCAGGCUUUCUCUCAGGACAGCCACCCUGGAACUUCAUCUCAAGCUCUGCAAUAUCAAGACCCUCAGUGAGCAAGCCAGAUCUUGGCCACUCCGUUUGCUUCCACAUCUUAAACCUAGCUCAUCAGCUAUCAAAAAUAUCUUAACCUGGAAGCGCAUGGGUAAAAUUGGUUUGGAGAUCUGGGAGCCUUGAGCAUCAGUAUAUAGAACAAAAUGUCUGAUGAUAACCUUAAACUGCCCUAAUCUGAACAGACUUCUUUCCCCACCCCUGAAAGAGAGGGCCCUCCAAAAUGAUUGAGGCUGAGGAACAAUUCUCUUUUUUUGACCUACUUCGGGAAGUGAAUGAACUUUGAAGGACAUUUGACCUGAUUCCUUGAAUUUGAUGCUAUAUGACUUAAUACCUCCUCUCUCACCACCUGAAAAUAAAGGAAGAAACUUAACAAAAUGAAUGGGAGGGGAUUUAACUAUAAACAUUUCCUGGUGUUUUCAAGAGGAAAAAAAAAG